UGAACACGGAAAUGGAAAUAUGCCCCCGG
rnacentral:sRNA from 1 species